AGAGUUUGAUCCUGGCUCAGAUUGAACGCUGGCGGUAUGCUUUACACAUGCAAGUCGAACGGAUUAAAGAGCUUGCUCUUUAGUUAGUGGCGAACGGGUGAGUAAUAUAUCGGAACAUAUCCGGAAGUGGGGGAUAACGUAGCGAAAGUUACGCUAAUACCGCAUAUGCCCUGAGGGGGAAAGGGGGGGAUCGCAAGACCUCUCGCUUUCGGAGUGGCCGAUAUCGGAUUAGCUAGUAGGUGAGGUAAAGGCUCACCUAGGCGACGAUCCGUAGCUGGUCUGAGAGGACGACCAGCCACACUGGAACUGAGGCACGGUCCAGACUCCUACGGGAGGCAGCAGUGGGGAAUUUUGGACAAUGGGCGAAAGCCUGAUCCAGCCAUACCGCGUGAGUGAAGAAGGCCUUCGGGUUGUAAAGCUCUUUCAGCCGGAAAGAAAUUGCUUCUAUUAAUACUAGGAGUAGAUGACGGUACCGGAAGAAGAAGCACCGGCUAACUACGUGCCAGCAGCCGCGGUAAUACGUAGGGUGCGAGCGUUAAUCGGAAUUACUGGGCGUAAAGCGUGCGCAGGCGGUUUUUUAAGUCAGAUGUGAAAUCCCCGGGCUCAACCUGGGAACUGCAUUUGAAACUGGAAGACUAGAGUAUAGCAGAGGGGGGUAGAAUUCCACGUGUAGCAGUGAAAUGCGUAGAUAUGUGGAGGAAUACCAAUGGCGAAGGCAGCCCCCUGGGUUAAUACUGACGCUCAUGCACGAAAGCGUGGGGAGCAAACAGGAUUAGAUACCCUGGUAGUCCACGCCCUAAACGAUGUCAACUAGGUGUUGGGGGGAGGAGACUUCCUUAGUACCGUAGCUAACGCGUGAAGUUGACCGCCUGGGGGAGUACGGUCGCAAGAUUAAAACUCAAAGGAAUUGACGGGGACCCGCACAAGCGGUGGAUUAUGUGGAUUAAUUCGAUGCAACGCGAAAAACCUUACCUACCCUUGACAUGUCAGAAAGAUCGCAGAGAUGUGAUUGUGCUCGAAAGAAAAUCUGAACACAGGUGCUGCAUGGCUGUCGUCAGCUCGUGUCGUGGAAAUGUUGGGUUAAUUCCCGCAACGAGCGCAACCCUUGUCAUUAAUUGCCAUCUUUUAUUUGGGCCUUUAAUGAGACUGCCGG
rnacentral:rRNA from 1 species